rnacentral:lncRNA from 1 species
AGGAUAAAGCCAAUGAGAUUCUGACUGUCACAUCCUUAGAGAAGAGGGAAGAAGAUUCUGAUAGUAAUGUGAAGUCAGUGGCUACAAAGGCACUCCUGAACUAUUGUAGUUCACCAAAGCAAACUUUGACAAAGGGUCUGAAAGGCAAUUCAUUUUGCAGUAGUCUAUGGAGCAACCUAUUAUCAAGAUAACAAGGUAUGAGUGGCUACAUUACAGAAUCUGGUGAAGAAAAUGUCCCUGAAUUAUCAGUACAUGGAGACACAUAUAUAUGAGUCUUACUCUUUUUGUGGUCACAAUUGAAGUAAUGAACAGUGACUUUGAUGAAGUGGCCCUAUAAGGAGUAAAAUUCUGGUCCAAUGUCUGUGAUGAAAAAAUAGAUUUGAUCAUUAAAGCUUAAUAGGCAGCAGAACAAAGAAAGCCCCCACAGCACACAGCAAGUUCCGUGCCAAGGGAGCACU